rnacentral:rRNA from 1 species
CCUACGGGAGGCAGCAGUGAGGAAUAUUGGUCAAUGGACGAGAGUCUGAACCAGCCAAGUAGCGUGAAGGAUGACUGCCCUAUGGGUUGUAAACUUCUUUUAUAUGGGAAUAAAAUGUUCCACGUGUGGGAUUUUGUAUGUACCAUAUGAAUAAGGAUCGGCUAACUCCGUGCCAGCAGCCGCGGUAAUACGGAGGAUCCGAGCGUUAUCCGGAUUUAUUGGGUGUAAAGGGAGCGUAGGUGGAUUGUUAAGUCAGUUGUGAAAGUUUGCGGCUCAACCGUAAAAUUGCAGUUGAAACUGGCAGUCUUGAGUGCAGUAGAGGUGGGCGGAAUUCGGGGUGUAGCGGUGAAAUGCUUAGAUAUCACGAAGAACUCCGAUUGCGAAGGCAGUUCACUGGACUGCAACUGACACUGAGGCUCGAAAGUGUGGGUAUCAAACAGGAUUAGAUACCCCAGUAGUC